AGAGUUUGAUCCUGGCUCAGGAUGAACGCUAGCGGCAGGCCUAAUACAUGCAAGUCUAAAGGGGAGCAAUUUCCUUGGCGCACGGGUGCGUAACACGUAUGCAACCUGCCCACAACUGGGGGAUAACCUUCCGAAAGGGAGGAUAAUACCGCAUGACACACUGUCCCUGCAUGGGGAUGGUGUCAAAGCUUCGGCGGUUGUGGAUGGGCAUGCGGACGAUUAGCUAGUUGGCGGGGUAACGGCCCACCAAGGCAACGAUCGUUAGGGGAACUGAGAGGUUGGUCCCCCACACUGGCACUGAGAUACGGGCCAGACUCCUACGGGAGGCAGCAGUAGGGAAUAUUGGUCAAUGGGCGGAAGCCUGAACCAGCCACGCCGCGUGCAGGAAGAAGGCCCUCUGGGUUGUAAACUGCUUUUGACAGGGAACAAGUCGGCCAUGCGUGGCUAAGUGAGUGUACCUGUAGAAUAAGCCACGGCUAACUACGUGCCAGCAGCCGCGGUAAUACGUAGGUGGCAAGCGUUGUCCGGAUUUAUUGGGUUUAAAGGGUGCGUAGGCGGCCAUGUAAGUCAGUUGUGGAAUACCCCGGCUCAACCGGGGGGGUGCGAUUGAUACUGCGUGGCUUGAGUGGCA
rnacentral:rRNA from 1 species